UUUGUUAUUUGCAUGUUUUUGUUGUUUUUUUUUUAAUAAUAACUAAAAUUAAAACUAACGGAGCAAGAAAGUAAAAGCGUAGUUACUUAGUAGUGAUCCUAAACUAAAAAGCAUAAAAAUAAAGCAUACACCCACACACGCACCCAUGCAUCUACGACUAUUACAUAAAAGCUUAUGAUACAUUCUAAAGUCCAGUGGAAUAAUAAACCUAAACUAAUAAAGAAGCAGGAGAAUAAAAAGAACAGCCACUGUCUUGCAAUUGGAAUUGGAAUGGAACAGCCACGUCAAACACCUGCAAAUAAAUGGAUGGACACUCGAAAAUUGAAAGAAAAGCCACGACAACAGCUAAUUGUGAUUAAUGAAGCCCCUGCAAACAAGUAAACAGAAGGACACGCAGCAAAAGGGAUUAAAUACAAACACACAAGCCGUGCCACAUGAAUUAAUCCAAACGCAGAUGCAAUGAUAUAAAUGAAAAGGCAAUUGGAAUUGAAACUAGAGGCACAACCACUAAUAAUUGAAAUCCAGAUAUAACACGUAGCAGCAAGAGAAUUAAUUGAGUUUGGAUGAAUAAUAAAAAAAAAACAAAAUGGCAAUUGAAAUCAAAAUGAGUUAUUUACGGUUGAAUGAAGUUUAAAAGCAAAGUUAUGAAUCCAAUUCAAUAUGAAUAGUGGACCGAUGAAAGUAAAACAAGGGUGAUAAAAAAAAUAUAUAUACAAAGAUUUAUGGAAAUAUAUGAAUACGGCAAGGGAAAAUGGUAGGGAUUGGAUCCAAAUAAUUCAACAAUAGCGAUGAAACAUAUAUAUGGAACUACGGCUGUAAAAAUCAAACUGAAGCUGAAAUUAAAAGAAACUACGGUUUUGGUUUGCAGGUUUGUGGAAUAUUUGUGUGUGAAAAUUGUGUUGUCGGGGUCCAAUUGUGUUGUUGCAGGUUGCUUUUUAUAGGAUUAGGAGUAGGGUUAGGGUUUGUUAAAAGUGGAGAAAAAAAUGUGAUAACACUGCUUGAAUUGGGGAGGAAGCAAGCAAACACGUUUGACAGGAUUUGG
rnacentral:lncRNA from 1 species